GCGCAGCGAAACCGACGUGAAAUUUCGUUGUACAGAUAAAAAUAAUAUUAUCAAAACAAGUCUAGUUUAUCUUGUGUCGUGUUUGUGAUCAGCAAUCAAAUGUUCGACUAACAGACUAAAAUUGAAAUUCCAGCGAAUUUUCACGAAGAUUGUUCAGUGUAUAAAAUGGUCGUUGAGAUGCUGGUGGUGAGGUGUGACUAUGUCCUACGUUUCCACGCAAGGAAAAUACGAAAAAAAGGC